CGCUGUCAGCAGCUUCAGCUUCAGCUUUGGAAGCAUGGAUGCUUUGGAAGCAUGGAUAUGGUUCUGCUAUCUCUCUGAGCUGAAAAGUCAGUGGAAAUGCAUGACCAAGAAUCAACCCUGUCACUGUCACGGAGGAAGGAAAAUAAGCCAUAGAGGUCAUACUGAGCACAGCUCAAGGGCCUGCCUUCCUGAGGAAUGGUACUUGAUCCAGAUGACUCAACAAUCCAGGCGGGAUGUUCAGUCUCUACUUAUGGCCAGAAAUUUCAUUUGCUUUACCAAAGGAAAUAGUUUUUCCUUAAUGGUCCUUCGGGGUCUCUGUAACAUUAUUAAGACUUUAAAUGCACAUAGUCUAAUGCUCCUGACCAACACAUUUUAUUUCUAAGACUAUCCCCAAAGUACACUGGCAUCUAUCUUGAAUAAAACUGUACAAAACUAUGUAUAUAAGAUUGUAACAGCAAUAAAUUGGACACAAUUUUAAGUAAAAAUUACUUUAGGUGAAAAAAGUCUUUCAUAGAGGACUAUUUAAAUAAGUUACUAUCAAUAAAGGAGAUUCUUUUAACCAUUAAUUUAAAUGAAAUAUGUAUUGAAGUGGAAGACCAAUGUAGCUAUUCUUACCUAAAAAGAAAUAAGUCCAUGUGCACAUGGGAGAGUUCAUAUAUCUUUGUAUGUAUAACCUGUUUUGAUACUAGUAGCUGUUGCUAAUGAAAGGAACAGGAAGUUGAGAACUUCAAAGAAGUUUUGUUUUUUAAAAAUAAAGUUCAAGCCGGGCGUGGUGGCACACACCUUUAAUCCCAGCACUUGGGAGGCAGAGGCAGGCGGAUUUCUGAGUUCGAGGCCAGCCUGGUCUACAGAGUGAGUUCCAGGACAGCCAGGGCUACACAGAGAAACCCUGUCUCCAAAAACAAACAAAUAAAACAACAACAACAACAAAAAAAACCCACCAAAAAUAAAGUUUAAAAUGGCUGAUUAGUGCAUAUAAUUCCCGGUGAAAUGAGCAGAUAAGAGUUAGACAAAUACAUGAUGCUAUAACUUUUGUCUUCCUGCCAGGAUUUCUUUCAGUUCACGUUAAGAACUCUUUUCUAAGGACAGACCUAUCUUCUGUUUGCAGACUGGCUGGGUGACCUUUGACCCCACUGUCUCCCAGACUUAUUAAUGUUUUCCUUCCUGGUGGUUUUUUUGUUUUUGUUUUUCUUUUUAAUCCGUACUAAAAAGUUAAGAGCUAUUGUGAAGAUUAAGUACUAAGAUCCCUAGCACAAAACCUGUGUCCUUAAUGAGAUUUAAUUCUCUUUCUGGCUUCAGUUCCUCCCCUGCCCCACACUGGGGGAGCAUAGCCUACUGAAGUUUUUAUGGGGUACCAGGAUGAAAGAAAACUGACUGAGCAGGUAUAUAACAACACCUCCUUGCUAGGGUCAUGAUUUAGAACUGAUAUCCAUGAAGCCUAAGCGCUUGGCUUAGAGCAGGUGGGGCCAGAUCUUACUGAGCAUCCUCUCUAGGGCCUGAAAGCUUCACAUAUUUAUUGUGGCUGUGACCCUUAGGCCCCUCCAGAGUCCUCUUAGGUGUGGCAGCUGUUCAGCUCAGGAGAACCAAACAGCCUCUUAGCUACCAGAGUGCCCCUACUACCACCUGCCUCACUCCUGGGGCUUUUCCCAUUGUUAUUAUUAUUACUCUAGUUUUCAAACACAUGUACAAUAUUUGCUUAUUUAUUUUUACUUUGUAUUAUGGGAAGAAGAGGAUACAUUUAUAAUAAAGAACUUUGGAGGACCUU